rnacentral:rRNA from 1 species
AAUCAACGCUGGCGGCGUGCCUCAGACAUGCAAGUCGAACGAUUAAACUUUCCUUCGGGAAAGAUAUAAAGUGGCGCACGGGUGAGUAACACGUAGAUAAUGUACCUUUGGGUGGGGAAUAACAGUCGGAAACGACUGCUAAUACCGCAUAAUGCAGCGGCAUCGCAAGAUGACAAUUGUUAAAGCGAGCAAUCGCGCCUAAAGAGCAGUCUGCGGCAGAUUAGGUAGUUGGUAAGGUAAUGGCUUACCAAGCCUGCGAUCUGUAACCGACCUGAGAGGGUGGUCGGUCACACUGACACUGAAUAACGGGUCAGACUCCUACGGGAGG